rnacentral:tRNA from 2 species
GCGGGCCAAAUCGGCAGCUGGACCGACCAGCGUAGACGUCAGGCGUCGCACUCGGCGGUCAGGGUUCUAGCGCUGCAAGGUGUGAGAGUUCGAGUCUCUCCGUCCGCACCA